UACGAAGGGGGCUAGCGUUGCUCGGAAUCACUGGGCGUAAAGGGUGCGUAGGCGGGUCUUUAAGUCAGGGGUGAAAUCCUGGAGCUCGAACUCCAGAACUGCCUUUGAUACUGAAGAUCUUGAGUUCGGGAGAGGUGAGUGGAACUGCGAGUGUAGAGGUGAAAUUCGUAGAUAUUCGCAAGAACACCAGUGGCGAAGGCGGC
rnacentral:rRNA from 1 species